GGACUUCGGAAGAGAACCUGGGGCUGGCCGUGUCGUUUAGGGGUAUGCUAGUUGGCAUGGGGACUAUCAUUGAAACCACUGGGAUACCCCACGGCAUGCUAGAAACCAGGUGAAAGAAUGCAGCCUCAUAUUCCCAUGCGUCUAUUUUAUUUUCAUGACAUAGACGCCACCUCGAGACGCAUCUGCCCAUGAUUUAGAAGGGACAAGAGAGACCAGUUCUGCUCCCAAGUACAGUCGUGGAAGGGUUUGGAUUGCCUCUGCCCAUGCAAAUGUUGUCUCGCCUGGCUGACUGCUGGCUUGAUGGAUACGGAUGGGCGAGGUGCAAGGCGUCGUUUCUGCAUUCUUGACUUCCUUCCUCCACAGGAGCUAAUGAAUCCAGUGCUUAGAAAAGAGCCUGACAUGGAGGCAGAAGGUACCAAGUGUUGGGGGAGAAGACGACCCGAGCUCUCCUGCUUGAACAGCUCUUCACUAACGGUCUGAAGGCGACCCUCAAAUGCAAUGAGGUGAUGAGGUACUGACGCACGGGGUUUGCAGCAGGCAUCUGAUUGUUCUGCCCAGUGUCGCUGCCGACACAAGAUGGGAUUCUUUCCUGUGAUAAUGUUCUUUUUUAAAAGCGAGUCCAGAGAUGAACAUUAUUGCGUUCCAAGANCAAUGAGGUGAUGAGGUACUGACGCACGGGGUUUGCAGCAGGCAUCUGAUUGUUCUGCCCAGUGUCGCUGCCGACACAAGAUGGGAUUCUUUCCUGUGGUAAUGUUCUUUUUUUAAAAGCAAGUCCAGAGAUGAACACUAGUACGUUCCAAGUACGUACUAGUACGUUCCAUUUAGUUCUAGGGUGAAGAGGGGUCUGGUUUUAUGCCACCAUGUUUUCCUCUUCAAAUCUGUAGUGAGAGUCAUUCACGUUAUUAUGUUGUAAAGUGGCCUUUUCAUGAGUUGUAAUCAGUAUUCGAAUUCAUCAGAAUUUUACAUGUCAUGUAAAGCAGGAAUGUAUAUGUAUGUUUAUUCCAAUAUUUAAAUGAUUCAAGAAAAUAUUGACAAAUAUUUUUGGCUUCUCCAUUUAAAUAGGGAAUCAGAGGUGUCAGAAUUGUGGUGUCAUAUUUGCUAGACUCUUGGGACCUCAUUAAAUGUGUAAUUAUAAGGUGAUAAUUGUAGUCUUCAGUCUGACUGAACUGGGAAUAUAUUGUGAGUAAAGUUUCCAUUUUAUGAAGAGAGAUGAACAAGAAAGUCAGGAAGUGUAUAAUCAAGGGUGCAAUGUAGGUUAUGGAUUUGAUAUUAAAUUCUUACUAUUUUAUGAACAACUUUCAAUUUGCGUACACUCUCAAUUAACCAUGAGUCAUCAGUAUUGACGGACAGAAAAUUUAGAGUCAUUUAAAAAUCUGUAAGUGUUUACUGAAGUGAGUCUCUAGGCUGUGGCCAUUUCAAAUACCCACUCAAAAAUCCAGAUGCUGUGCAGUUGCUAAAGUACAGUUAUGUUAGACUCCACACUUCCCUCUUCCAGCUGGGACCAUUCUACAGGUCCGAAUGCUUUUGAAGCUAUAAAUGCAUGAGGAUGAAAUUCUUAAAAACAAACUUUUGUUCUAGAACAUAACAGUUCUGACGUGGACUGGCCUUCCUUGGAGAAUUGGGGUGGCUAGUAAUUCAAUGUUAUCUCUAUGUGACCCAAUUUGGAAUAGAACAGAUCAUUUUGUAAGGCAGUUGAAAAACAAUAGUAUUUAUUGAGCAUUACCUUGAUUAGGUCAAGGGGCCAUGCUGAAUGCUAUUUCGAAAGCUCUGGUCAAUUUAAAAUACUUUGAUGAAAAUUUAGAACUAAGAGGAUAGCAAUGUCCUUUUUACUUCAGCGAUUUAACGCAGUAAGAUUCCUAGGUAUAAUUAGCUAAUGUAAAUGUAAUUCCUAGUUAAGAUUUAAGAAUGCCUGCCUAACACCUUAAGUCGAUUAACUUUGAAAAUGUAAAACUGUUUCUCCACUAUUUAUUAAAUUAUUUGAUAUUAAGUGUUGGAUUCUAUCUAAUUCUGUUGAUAAAACUUUAAGGUAGCUAGAGGUUGAGAAAUAAUUAUUUUAUGGAUAUUUCACAUUUAUCUUUUGGAUUUUCCUGACAUAAGUACAUCAUUUUUGUGUUACCAUGUCUCAACUUUUCUAAAAAAAGUUUUAGCCUUGACCCGGGGUUCAUUUUCUUUUACAUUAUUUUCUUUCUUUUUAACUUUUUGAGGCAAUUCUUGGCUUUGUGGAGGAAUACCAGAGAUAAAUUCAUCAAUAAGCAAAUGUUUCCCUUUUUAACUUUUUAAGUUAUUUUACACAUUAUUUUACUUUUAAUCUUUUCUGAUCUGUUUGACAAAAUUUAGCUGUUGCUUACAUGUCAGCAGUAGACACUGUUUAUACGUCUUUUGGUUUCUCAUAAAUAAUUGUGAUAAUUUAUUGAGGUGCUUGCACAUCACAUAUAUAAAAUAUUUUGUGAUUUUAUGUGUCUUAAUGUGUUCUGACUUUGCUAUAAAAUAUCUUUAACUUUUAUGAUCAGCUAUUCCAGUGUGUCUUGUAACACUCAAUAGCCAUACAUAAAACAUCUGAUGAUUAUGCUGUUUGAAAUCUAGCUUCAAAGAUGGCAAUUUAAAUAAUUAGGAAAUUGGCAAAAUAUUUUUCUUGCAAGUCACUUAAUUUUUUUUGCCAAACCACUAAAACACAUUUCUGCAAAGUACUAUAAUUGAUGCCACCAACACACACCAGGUGUCACUUCUGAUUCUAUUAGAACCAAGAUUCCAGUUAAGUCACUGUGAUAAAAUAUCCUUAUGUGCAGAUUCUGUGCAGUGCAAUGUUUAGUUUGAUAGAAUGAGACAAAUGAUAUCAGUGUAUUGUCUAUUAGACCUGAUGUACAAUAAAUCAGAUGAAAGCUUAGCCA
rnacentral:lncRNA from 1 species